rnacentral:rRNA from 1 species
GGGGGAUAUUGCGCAAUGGGGGCAACCCUGACGCAGCAACGCCGCGUGAAGGAUGAAGGUUUUCGGAUUGUAAACUUCUUUUAUUAAGGACGAAACUUGACGGUACUUAAUGAAUAAGCUCCGGCUAACUACGUGCCAGCAGCCGCGGUAAUACGUAGGGAGCAAGCGUUGUCCGGAUUUACUGGGUGUAAAGGGUGCGUAGGCGGCUUUGCAAGUCAGAUGUGAAAUCUAUGGGCUCAACCCAUAAACUGCAUUUGAAACUGUAGAGCUUGAGUGAAGUAGAGGCAGGCGGAAUUCCCCGUGUAGCGGUGAAAUGCGUAGAGAUGGGGAGGAACACCAGUGGCGAAGGCGGCCUGCUGGGCUUUAACUGACGCUGAGGCACGAAAGCGUGGGUAGCAAACAGGAUUAGAUACCCUGGUAGUCCACGCUGUAAACGAUGAUUACUAGGUGUGGGGGGUCUGACCCCUUCCGUGCCGGAGUUAACACAAUAAGUAAUCCACCUGGGGAGUACGGCCGCAAGGUUGAAACUUAAAGGAAUUGACGGGGGCCCGCACAAGCAGUGGAGUAUGUGGUUUAAUUCGAAGCAACGCGAAGAACCUUACCAGGUCUUGACAUCCAACUAACGAAGUAGAGAUACAUUAGGUGCCCUUCGGGGAAAGUUGAGACAGGUGGUGCAUGGUUGUCGUCAGCUCGUGUCGUGAGAUGUUGGGUUAAGUCCCGCAACGAGCGCAACCCUUGCUAUUAGUUGCUACGCAAGAGCACUCUAAUAGGACUGCCGUUGACAAAACGGAGGAAGGUGGGGACGACGUCAAAUCAUCAUGCCCCUUAUGACCUGGGCUACACACGUACUACAAUGGAUGUUAACAGAGGGAAGCAAGACAGCGAUGUGGAGCAAACCCCUAAAAACAUUCUCAGUUCAGAUUGCAGGCUGCAACCCGCCUGCAUGAAGAUGGAAUUGCUAGUAAUCGCGGAUCAGCAUGCCGCGGUGAAUACGUUCCCG